AUGUCUUACCGAUUUCUAAGCCGUAACAUUUUCCCUUCUCUUCUAAGCAGUGAUUCUCCCUUCCUCAAAGCCUCCGCCUCUCCUCCUCAUCUCUGCCUCGCUAUCUCUGUCUCUCGCCAUUUUCUCUCCAAAUGCAACAAAAGCCAAAAGGUAAAGGAAUGAAGCCACUCAUGUAUCCCUAGAUUCACGCACUUUGCCUUAUUUUUCCUUCGCUCAAUUCCCCAACUUUCAUACACGAAUUCUUCCUUCUUUUUUAGUCCUGGAGGAUUUGUUUCAUCCCUUGAUCAUCUCAUUUGCUUUGGCUAACCUCCAAUUUCCUACUAAUCAGUAGAUUUCGUGUUGCAAUCAAGUUUUUUCUUGGUUGUUUGCCUUUUCCAUGUAACUAGAUUGUAGACCAGAGCAUCCUUUUGGUUUCAAUGGGCACACAGAAGAUUUGCCUUUGGAAAUCAAGGGUUAGUAGUUGCCAAGGUCACAUUUCUGGCUCAUUAAAAGGUGAGGCAAAGGAAAAGGAAGACGACCCUCUCUACGGGGCAGACUCAGAUGAUGAUCUGGAUGACUUUGACUUCAAGGGAAUUAGCAGUGAGCUUGGCAUGGUGGAAGGUCAGGUUUGAAGCAUACCAUAUGAACUUUUAUUGGUGCUUAAAGCUGAGAGACAGGUUGGUGCUUAAAGCUUGACUUCAAACAGGUUGCUGCUUAAAGCUCUCUGCAUGUUUCAAAUUCAUAGCACUUGUAUUGGUUGUAUUGACUCUGAUUAUUUACCAUGUCAAGCAGAACUAGUAAUUCUGCAAGUUUGAAAAGGAUUUGCAUUAAUGCACUUAAGGCACUUUUAAUGCUUUUGCUGCACUAGUUGAACUAAAAAUGUAUCCACCAUUCUUGCUUUGACACCAAUUUCAAUUCUUGAGUGUCCAUUCUUGAGUCUUAACAGAAAGUUUAAUAAAUAAAGACAUAUAUUUUACAUGUGGGAAGGCUAAUUUUGGUCCACUUUUUAUGUAAUAUUCGUAUGCAUGAGAGAUCACAAUGUGUAGAUAACCAUAACACAAGUUAAACUACAAACUUGUGUCUGUUUUUUUGGUUAGGAACACAACUUUUGUCUAUUGUUUGCUCUACCACUGAACUUGGUGGUUGUCACAUCAGGAAAAAUGAAAGUGCUGAAAAGGGGAAAAUAAGUUGAGACUAUUUUGUGCUUUUCCAUUUCAAAUCAUUCCAGGCUUUCAAAUUUUCUGCUGACAAAAAGUUGUUAAGAGAACCCCAGGUAAGGGUCGGUCUUCUUCAGAACUCCAUUGCUCUCCCAACCACUGCUCCCUUUUCAGACCAGAAAAAAGCUAUAUUUGAGAAAUUGGGACCAAUAAUUGAUGCUACUGGUGCUUCAGGAGUCAACAUACUAUGCUGCAGUUCAGGAAGCAUGGAUGAUGCCAUUUGCCUUCUAUACACGAGAAAAGAGGUGGUGUGAAUUUGCAGAACCUAUUAACGGGGAAUCUACACAAUUUCUUCAGGAAUUUGCACUCAAGUAUAACAUGGUCAUUAUAAGCUCAAUUCUUGAGAGGGAUAUAAAUCAUGGAGAGACUCUCUCUGGAAUACUGCUGUUAUAAUUGGAAAUCAUGGCAGCAUAAUAGGCAAGCACCGUAAGAACCAUAUUCCUAGAGUUGGGGACUUCAAUGAGAGCACGUAUUAAAUCAAUAGAUUUAAAUUAGGGACUUCAAUGGAGCCUGUUGCCUUUGUUGAUUGCAAUUGCUAAUAUUUCUAGCAUAUUGCUAGUUCAUUUGCUUCAUAGAUAUCAGAUGGUUAUCUGCCUCUUUACCUGGUUGUAUUAAAUCAAUAGGUGUCAGUUGAAAAUUUUGAUUGUAUGUAUCAUUCAUUUUGAUUUUACUAUCAGUUCUAUGAAAUUCUUUUUUGGGCCA